rnacentral:lncRNA from 1 species
GGGAACGGAACAUGUGGGACAUGUGAUAAGAAAUAAUCCAAAAGUAAAAGCUAGGACUCGGUGACAGAUGUGCCAUCGCCAAUGAAUGAACUUUCUAAAAUUCAGCCUGGAAUUGGUAUUCUUUGCCAUGCUUAACCUGACAGAGCAGCCUCUAUGGGCGAUGAGCAGGAGGCCGUUAGCCUAAGAGUCCUUCUCCCACAAUGGGACAGCUUCCAGAAAUGUGCCGCUUCCUCUCCACAUUUCAUCGAGCAGCUCUCCACUUCUGUGUAUAGCACCGGCACAGCACACAGGAAGCAAACACCACGUUCUGCAGUCCAGGGUCCGCACCUUCUGUACUCAAAGGAAGUCCAAAGGCCUCAAAUUGUGAAUCCACUGAAUGGAAGAGAGGCGAUUUCCCCACUUCAGGCAAUGCCAUGUUUGGAAAGAACCAGAACGCUGGGCGCAGAAAGGCUUUCAUGCAAACCGAGACGGUGCACAUUCUCAAGAUGGAAAAGGGUAAGUGGGUGAGACAGUAUUCCAUGGUGUAUGGCGUGAAGGGAAGCGAAUUGAAGAGACCGCCCACAGAGAAGAGAAUGGCAUGUGCUAGCUGUACUGGAGAGCAAAAGGUAUGUUUUUUUCUAUAAUUAUGAAAUAACAUGUUUAUAAGAAAAAUGAGGAAAUAAUAAAGUGUAUAAAAUGAUGAUAACUGUUGCAUAAGUUGCUUUUCAGAAAAUUGGAGGCUGCUUUUGUCUAGUUGAAACUGUUUAAAACCAGACUCCACUGAGGCCUGCAGGAGAGUCCAGUGGGUGACUUUUUAAACCUCAGCAGGCUGGGAAGUGGGCCCUGUGGGCGUGCUAGAGCCUCCAUUUUUGGAACACACGUGCUAUGACGAGCUGUGAAGGGUAUGCAGGCACAGACCACUGAUGCCUCACUUGGCCGCCAAUCGCCUUUCCCCUCUCUUAGACCUCCCGGCUUCUUUGGCCCGUGAGCAUCCUUAAACUCCAUCCUGGGGGAAGCAGAAUUGGGAGUCGCUUUCUUUUUUUUUUUUUUUGGUUUUUCUCUGGUACCGGGAACCGAACUCACGACCUUGCGCUUGCCAGGCAGGAGCUUUUGCCGCUGAGCUAAAUCCCCAGCCCCUUGGGAGUUGCUUUCUUAUCGCCACACUUGCCUGCCUCAUCAAUCCGCUCUUUCUCUUUUGCAGAAUGCGUUGCUUUCUGUGACUGGCACGCUGUGCAAAGCGCAAAAUGGGCCUGAUUCAAGAACACAACGUGAGGUCCUUUAUUCCAUACUGUUUUGCAGUGGCAGGCUUUUUUUUUUUUUUUUUUAAUCUCUUGUCGGCAUAUUAUGGAGGACGUUCCGUGUCAUCCUGAAUCUACAUUAUGGAUCGUAAUGGC